rnacentral:misc_RNA from 1 species
CGAAAUGCGAUAAGUAAUGUGAAUUGCAGAAUUCAGUGAAUCAUCGAAUCUUUGAACGCACAUUGCGCCCACCAGUAUUCUGGCGGGCAUGCCUGUUCGAGCGUCAUUUCAACCAUCAAGCCCCCGGCUUGUGUUGGGGACCUGCGGCUGCCCGCAGGCCCUGAAAAACAGUGGCGGGCUCGCUGUCACACCGAGCGUAGUAGCAUACAUUCUCGCUCAGGGCGUGCUGCGGGUUCCGGCCGUUAAACGACCUUCAUAACCCAAGGUUGACCUCGGAUCAGGUAGGAAGACCCGCUGAACUUAAGC